rnacentral:ncRNA from 1 species
GUGCUAGAAAUGGGGUGCUUGCUAUACGGCAGGCUGAGAUGAUACCCGGGAGUUUUUACUCGAAUUAAGAUUCAUUUUCUAAAAAUGUUUUUUUGCAUCGAUGUAAUUUACUCUGAACCUGAUCCGGAUAAUGCCGGCGUAGGGAUUUUCUAAGUUGAGGUUG